GAGUUUGAUCCUGGCUCAGAUUGAACGCUGGCGGCAUGCCUUACACAUGCAAGUCGAACGGCAGCACGGGAGCUUGCUCCUGGUGGCGAGUGGCGAACGGGUGAGUAAUGCAUCGGAACGUAUCCUGGAGUGGGGGAUAACGUAGCGAAAGUUACGCUAAUACCGCAUAUUCUGUGAGCAGGAAAGCGGGGGACCUUCGGGCCUCGCGCUCUUGGAGCGGCCGAUGUCGGAUUAGCUAGUUGGUGAGGUAAAGGCUCACCAAGGCGACGAUCCGUAGCAGGUCUGAGAGGAUGAUCUGCCACACUGGAACUGAGACACGGUCCAGACUCCUACGGGAGGCGAGCAGUGGGAAUUUUGGACAAUGGGGGCAACCCUGAUCCAGCCAUGCCGCGUGAGUGAAGAAGGCCUCGG
rnacentral:rRNA from 1 species